GAUGAAGAACGCAGCGAAAUGCGAUAAGUAAUGUGAAUUGCAGAAUUCAGCGAAUCAUCGAAUCUUUGAACGCACAUUGCGCCCCUUGGUAUUCCGAGGGGCAUGCCUGUUCGAGCGUCAUUAUAACCCCUCAAGCUCAGCUUGGUGUUGGGGCCUGCUGCACUGGCAGCCCUUAAAAUCAGUGGCGGCGCCAUCUGGCUCUAAGCGUAGUAAUUCUUCUCGCUAUGGAGUCCUGGUGGAUGCUUGCCAUCAACCCCCAAUUUUUCUAUGGUUGACCUCGGAUCAGGUAGGGAUACCCGCUGAACUUAAGCAUAUCAAUAAGCGGAGGA
rnacentral:misc_RNA from 1 species